rnacentral:lncRNA from 10 species
GGCAAAUCUAUAUCCAGAUUAAUAGCUUGACCAGUGAAAACAAAAUGCUGUGCCUACAAUGACAGAAGUGGCCCAAUGUAAUUAACCUGGCAACAGGUAGCUGGCUGAUCCUUCAGGAAAUGGGGCCAUAUUGCAGGAAUGGCCCCAUUCCUGCAAUUCGGGGUAUUCGGCAAUGGCUGUAGCUAUAUUGGCUUGGGUGAAAGAAAAUUCAUGUUGGUGAUGCCAUAGAUAACCUUGAUUCCUGCCAUGAUGGCCACUUUAUUUAUGAGCCCAUUAUAUAAUGACUGGAGUGGCUGGGAAGCCAGUAAUGAAAGACAUAUGUAAAGUCAGGGAGAUUUAGAAGAAGCUGGAAGCUACAGGCAUAGGCUGAAACCCAGUGAGAAUUUACAUUGAAACCUGUGUAUGUUCUCACUGCCUCUGAAAUUUUUGGCACGGAUGAUCUGAAGUAGUUGAAGUUUUUCAUCAUGAAGUUAAACACACACACUUGGCCCAAGAAUCAAAGAAACUGAAGGACAAUUUAAGAAAAUAUAGAGCAGUCUCAGGCCCAGCUGUAGCCUCAUGCCAAUGAGGUCAGUUGAAAGAUCAGCAGCAACAUAUGUGAGCAACAACAUGGUGCCUGUUUUGCUUCCUUUCUCUAAGUCUCACAGAAGAAUGUCUUUGUGGUCCAUCCUAAACAGAAGCAUACAAGAAAGGAAAUUCCAGAAAACGAAGUUCAGACUAGCCAAGUUAAACAUUACAAAGCCACUUCAAAAUGCAUACUCAGAGCCUCGUUUUUCAGCAUGACCUCCAG